UACGAAGGGGGCUAGCGUUGUUCGGAUUUACUGGGCGUAAAGCGCGUGUAGGCGGGCUGGAAAGUUGGGGGUGAAAUCCCGAGGCUCAACCUCGGAACUGCCUCCAAAACUUCCAGCCUGGACUCAAGUAGAGGCAAGUGGAAUUGCGAGUGUAGAGGUGAAAUUCGUAGAUAUUCGCAGGAACACCAGUGGCGAAGGCGACUUGCUGGACUUGUAGUGACGCUGAGACGCGAAAGCGUGGGGAGCAAAC
rnacentral:rRNA from 1 species